rnacentral:misc_RNA from 1 species
GUAGGUGAACCUGCGGAAGGAUCAUUAUCUUCAGUGGUUUUCCACUGUAUUGAGGGGGACCUAACCGUCCCUUCUCUCCAUCCUUGUCUUUUGCGUACCCAUGUUUCCUCGGCAGGCUUGCCUGCCGGUUGGACAAAACUAUAACCUUUUUAAUUUUUAAUCAGCGUCUGAAAAACUUAAUAAUUACAACUUUCAACAACGGAUCUCUUGGUUCUG